rnacentral:rRNA from 1 species
ACGGGUGAGUAACAUUUAGGAACCUACCUAGUAGUGGGGGAUAGCUCGGGGAAACUCGAAUUAAUACCGCAUACGACCUACGGGUGAAAGGGGGCGCAAGCUCUUGCUAUUAGAUGAGCCUAAAUCAGAUUAGCUAGUUGGUGGGGUAAAGGCCCACCAAGGCGACGAUCUGUAACUGGUCUGAGAGGAUGAUCAGUCACACCGGAACUGAGACACGGUCCGGACUCCUACGGGAGGCAGCAGUGGGGAAUAUUGGACAAUGGGGGCAACCCUGAUCCAGCCAUGCCGCGUGUGUGAAGAAGGCCUUUUGGUUGUAAAGCACUUUAAGCAGGGAGGAGAGGCUAAUGGUUAAUACCCAUUAGAUUAGACGUUACCUGCAGAAUAAGCACCGGCUAACUCUGUGCCAGCAGCCGCGGUAAUACAGAGGGUGCGAGCGUUAAUCGGAAUUACUGGGCGUAAAGCGAGUGUAGGUGGCUCAUUAAGUCACAUGUGAAAUCCCCGGGCUUAACCUGGGAACUGCAUGUGAUACUGGUGGUGCUAGAAUAUGUGAGAGGGAAGUAGAAUUCCAGGUGUAGCGGUGAAA